UUUUUCCAGGUCUGAAAGAAAAACAAACAGAUGGCAAGAAUCGUUACUAGCCUCAGAAAUGACUGUCAUUUACUUUUUGCAGAAAGAAGUGUCUCUGCACAAAGCACCUCCACAUGUUGCCUCAGAGCAUUGCUCAUCUCCUGGAGCCCCACACACCUGAAAGAAGGAACAGGCAUAGUUUCUCACAGGCGGAGAUGGGACGCAAAGCCAGGACCUCCCGCACUGAAGCACAGCACCGAUAUCGCUGUACAAAAGAGCCAGCUCCCUUGCAGGAGAGUCACCAGGAGAUUGUGUCACCUACCAACCCUGACCCCUACCACCGUGCACGCCACAAUAUGUAUAAAUAUAUAA